GAACACUACGGCCUAGACCCCAUCACCUACACAUAAUAUAGCGGGUGGCACUGGGCUGUCCUGCAAAUUUCAUGUGAAUAGCUGCAUUUGUGUAAACUGCUGGUUUUAUAUGUGUUUAAAAGAAAUGUAUUCCUCUGAUUGUUCGGUAGAAUCUUUUGAAUAAAGUAAGGGAAUGAAACUACUGAACAAUCAGACCUCCCCUGUGUGAAGUGUGUCCUCAAUUACCCGUUGCAACAUUGUUGCGAACGGGUAAUUGACCAGUUAAGUAGCCGUCCUUUGUUCUCGGGGGUGGCCGCCAUUUGACAAACGAACACGUGGCGGUGGCCAUUUUAAA